rnacentral:rRNA from 1 species
UACGUAGGCAGCAAGCGUUGUUCGGAGUUACUGGGCGUAAAGGGCGUGUAGGCGGUUUGUUAAGUCUGGCGUGAAAGCUCUCGGCUAAACCGGGAGAGGUCGUUGGAUACUGGCGAACUCGAGGAUGGUAGAGGCGUGUGGAAUUCCGGGUGUAGUGGUGAAAUGCGUAGAGAUCCGGAGGAACACCAGUGGCGAAGGCGACACGCUGGGCCAUACCUGACGCUAAAGCGCGACAGCAUGGGGAGCAAACAGG